rnacentral:rRNA from 1 species
AUCCAGACUCCUACGGGAGGCAGCAGUGGGGAAUAUUGCACAAUGGGGGAAACCCUGAUGCAGCGACGCCGCGUGAGUGAAGAAGUAAUUCGUUAUGUAAAGCUCUAUCAGCAGGGAAGAAAAUGACGGUACCUGAGUAAGAAGCCCCGGCUAACUACGUGCCAGCAGCCGCGGUAAUACGUAUGGUGCGAGCGUUGUCCGGAUUUACUGGGCGUGAAGGGGGCGCAGGCGGCGCGCCAAGCCCGAUGUGAAAGCCCGGGGCUCAACCCCGGGACUGCAUUGGGAACUGGCGUGCUGGAGUGCCGGAGGGGCAGGCGGAAUUCCUGGCGUAGCGGUGAAAUGCGUAGAUAUCAGGAGGAACACCGGUGGCGAAGGCGGCCUGCUGGACGGAUACUGACGCUGAGGCCCGAAAGCGUGGGGAGCGAACAGGAUUAGAUACCCCAGUAAA